CCUACGGGAGGCAGCAGUAGGGAAUCUUCCACAAUGGGCGAAAGCCUGAUGGAGCAAUGCCGCGUGGGUGAAGAAGGUCUUCGGAUCGUAAAACACUGUUGUUAGAGAAGAAAGCGCGUGAGAGUAUAUGUUCACGUUUCGACGGUAUCUAACCAGAAAGCAACGGCUAACUACGUGCCAGCAGCCGCGGUAAUACGGAGGUGGCAAGCGUUAUCCGGAUUUAUUGGGCGUAAAGGGAACGCAGGCGGUCUGUUAAGUCUGAUGUGAAAGCCUUCGGCUUAACCGGGGUAGUGCAUUGGAAACUGGGAGACUUGAGUGCAGAAGAGGAGAGUGGAACUCCAUGUGUAGCGGUGAAAUGCGUAGAUAUAUGGAAGAACACCAGUGGCGAAGGCGGCUCUCUGGUCUGUAACUGACGCUGAGGUUCGAAAGCGUGGGUAGCAAACAGGAUUAGAUACCCCAGUAGUC
rnacentral:rRNA from 1 species